UACGUAGGGUGCAAGCGUUGUCCGGAAUUAUUGGGCGUAAAGAGCUCGUAGGCGGUCUGUUGCGUCGGCUGUGAAAACCCGGGGCUCAACCCCGGGCCUGCAGCCGAUACGGGCAGACUAGAGUUCGGCAGGGGAGACUGGAAUUCCUGGUGUAGCGGUGAAAUGCGCAGAGAUCAGGAAGAACACCGGUGGCGAAAGCGUUCUGCUAGACCUGUACUGACACUGAGGGACGAAAGCUAGGGGAGCGAAUGGG
rnacentral:rRNA from 1 species